CGGAGAACGAAAAAUAUCCAGAAGCAUUUUGCGUGCCUGCAAAGGAGUCGACGGAAAGAAAGUGAAUAAAAUUUCAAUCAAUUAACUGCAAAACAUGGACAACAGCGAAGAGCAACUGUCUGAGGAGUUAAAGUUCAAAAGAAUAUGUCGGUUUUGUCUGACCCAGGAAGAACCGUUGAGCGAUAUCUUCGUCAGCAAUCAAGCGGAAGCCAGUGGCAACAAGACCAAGACGUCGCCUCUCACACUGCAGAUCAUGGCUUGCGUUGCCAUUGAGGUGUAUAAGGAAGAUGGUAUGCCGUGCACUAUUUGCGAUAAUUGUCGCCAUUUCAUGGAUCAUUCCUAUCGGUUCAAACAGAUGUGCAAGAAAGCCGAUACGUUACUUAAGACCUAUCCAAUUACUGGGGUAUGGCCUGAGAAGCUGCAGGUUCCUGUCAAUCUGUUUAAGUGCGUCACUCUUAUACCCCCUUCAAAACCGCCGGUUCGUCAACUCCCUGUACAACAAAAGGCACCUUCUGCCUCGAUUGGUGCCAAGCCAAAACAAAAUGUAAUUCAAAUUCACGAUGUUAAAAUUAUCAAGAAAGGUACAUCCCCUGUCAAAGCUCCGCCGGUGACACCUAGUGUCGUGACGGAACCUACUGAGGACUUCAUUAUCCCGGAUAGCUCUGUUGCGCACUUGCAAAUCGAACCAGUCGAAGAAGAUGUUAAACCGAAAAUUGUUAAGCUGAGCAUUGAAGAUCUGAAACAGAUCAAGCAAGGUAAAUCGAUCAACAAAACCAAUUUUAUCAUGAAAAGUUCGUCACCUUCCAAAAAGGAUGAAGCUAUUUUAACAACAAAUCGACCUUGUGCGAGUGGAAGGCGUCCUGAGAAACAAUGUCCAGUGAAGGUGAUAAACGGUAGCCUGGGAGCCGUGAGCAAGAAACCGGUCAUUUUGAAUAGCCUGAGGCCACCAUCUAACAAAACGGAGGAACAUUUUGUACAAACCGGAGAUGGAACUUUGGAGAUCGUUUGCAUAGAAUCUCUGGAUCAGGAAGUGGUGGACCCCAUUAAAAAUGCCCCACCGGUUGAGACUCACGUAUUCCCUUGCCCCGAGUGUGAGCGGUCAUUUCCGUUACGACAGCUUUUGGAUAUUCAUAUGAAAAAUCACAACCGGGAACGCAACUACCCUUGUGAGCUGUGUGACAGACGGUUCUUCAGCAAAUAUGACCUUGCUAAACACAAUCUCACGCACACGGGUGAGCGGCCAUAUGUUUGCAUUAUUUGUAAAGCUGCAUUUUCAAGAUCCACUCUUUUGACCCGUCAUCAGAAGGUUCACAAAGACAUGCCGAAAUACUUGUGCAUGUACUGCGAGAGAACGUUCCUGUCGAACGAGGAUUUGCAGAAACACUGCCAGUUCCAUCAGAAGAGACGGCCUUUCCAAUGUCAGAAAUGUCCGAAAAGCUUUGCCUACAAGCAGGGACUCGAACGGCAUGAGGUUACCCAUGAAACAAACCUUCCGUUCCCCUGCGAGCAUUGCGACUUGACUUUUGCCACGGCCGGAAAAUUGGCACGCCAUCUGACAGCGCACGCAGGAAGUCGUCCCUAUCCGUGUCGCAUGUGCUCGAGAUCAUUCAUGCUGAGUCACCACCUCACCCGGCACGUCCGCUCGCACCAGGGAGGACAGGGUGCUUACAAGUGUAAUGACUGCACGAGCGUAUUCGACAACCAAGACGACCUAAUCUACCAUUCUGCGGAGCAUGCCACCAAAAGUUUAACGUGUCCGUUGUGUCGUGAGCACUUCGAAACGUUGGAACAAGUUACGGAACACAUCAAGGAGCACUCGGAGGGUAUUCAGUAUGCGUGCGAUUACUGUGAUUUGCUUUUUACUACCGAACAAAAACUGGACACUCACUGUCAGAAGGAACACCUGUCCGUGUUGGCCAUGGACCGUACAGAAACAGCUAAUAACUCAACGGACGAUUCAGAAUCGUCCCAGCAAUUCAUAAUCGAGGAAAUCUCUAUCAACAAGGACGGAAGCCAGCUGAUAACGACGUUUGUCGACGGAAAGGAGAAAGAGAAGAAGUUUGUGCAAAAAGAACGGGGUAAAGUGAUCAAAACCGAAAUUACCGUAGAGAAGACUCGAUUACAAGUUCAGGAGGAAUGCAACGAGGAGGAAAAUGAAGAUGGUCAACUUGACGAAGAGUGCUAUUAUGACGACGAAGAGCUGCAAGAGGAAGAAGCUGAGGAACAACCAAAAGAGGUUCUCAUUAAAAAUGAAAAACUUGAACCUAUGAACAAAAGUAAAUCGACAGCAGUGCCAGCACAAAAACCACCAGUUUCGAAACCAGCAACUCCAAAAGCAUCUCCAGCAGUAGAUGCACAAAAAUCAGUUACACAGCAAAAGUUAGACGCUUUCUUCAAAAAAGCGCAAAUUCCCGUGACAUCAUCCAGCUCGAAAACGGUCGGAGAUGUUCUGAAAAAUCUACCCAAAGGUGUGGUAGUUAGAAGACCUGCUGCAACUACUCCUACUCCCAGUCCCGUAGAGAAAAAAACAGAACCUUCACCUAAGGGAUCACCUAAUGGAUCUACUCCUCCAAAGCCUCCAACCAUGGCUCCAAAAUCAGUUGCAGUACAAAAAAAGUCACCUGCUAAUGUGCAACUUCCGCAACGUACUUCCGAUGUUUCUACAGCUAAGAAUAACCCUGUGAAACCACAGCCUACGAAAUCAUCACCCAGAAUCGCAGCAAAGCGACCAGCGGAGCCAUCGAAGUCACCAUCCCCCACCAAAAAGAUGGCCGUAGAACCCAAAACUCCUGCAGCCUCCGGGUCAUCGACAAAGCCAGUUGCAAAAGCAGUUCUCAAACCGGGUGCCACCAUACCUGGAUCAGCUAAAAAGGGCAAAACAUUCGAAAUGAAGAUCGGUGAUAAAAUGGUGAAGGUUCAGAAGGUAGUAAUGACGAAGGCCGAAGUUGCCGCAAUGGCCCGUGACGGAAAGAUCGAAAUGCAGGGGGACACGAUGAUUCUGAAGCAAACUAAAGCUAAGAAACAAUAGGUAUGUGUUUAUGUGGGGAUGAGAGGUACACCGUCCCCCGCAUGUGGUAAGUAAUAUUUGCUUAUAAUUUGCAAAACUAUUCGUUUAUGACGAGCUGAAAAGUGUAUAAAGCACCAGGUAAUAAAUAUUCCACAGUAUUGUUUAAGACUUGUUCAAUUGGAUGACAUUAUGGGUUCAGGGUUGUUCAAGUUGAUAUGUGUCCAAAUAUGUAAUUAUUCCUUGGGCAUUGUUAACAUUGAGAAUUGCUUAACGGCAACCAGGUCCCAGGGCUUGUCUGUAUCUUUGCAUUUUGAAAGAUGCACACUAGUGAUGCCAGUUGUGAUGUAGCGGACCAAAAGUUUGUUGGAAUUUAACUACUAGCCAAAAUUUAAUAAUUCCAUGAUAGAGGGAUAGAAGAUCAUUUUAUUUUCAUAAAAAAACAAAACCAUCAUAACAGAUUAUCAGGAAAGCCCUUAAGUGUGGGAUCCCGGAGAAGAAGAAAAUGGGAAGACCAUGCUUCACAUGGAAAACCAACGCAAGGCACGAUGUAGAAGGAAGUGGUCGAUCGGCGGAUUAUUGGCAAGAGAUGUCUAAUAACUGAAGCGAGUUUAAAACAGCCACGACAAGAUUGUUCACUGAAAUGGUGGAACUAGAAUACGAAGACUCGGAAGAUACUCUCAGUGCUCUCACGGAGACACCCGUGACGAAAAAACUCUAGGAGUUAAAAGUCAAGUAAAUGUUAAUGCCUAGCCUCAGUGAUUCAAGUAGCGAUAAUCAACUGAACAUCAACCCGGUUUCUCUAACGACGAUAAUGAGGCUUUCCCAGGAUUCGUCUAAUUAGUAUCAUAAUAAUAUACCAUCGCGCUAUUGUCAAACUCUGUGAUGGUAAAAUCAACUAACAACUUCCUUUACUUUACACCA